AAGAAGUUAGUUUAAAGAAAACAAUUAUUUGUCAAAUAAAAAAUAUAUUAAUAUUUAUACCUCUUG
rnacentral:tRNA from 1 species